GCCCCCAUCGUCUAGCGGCCUAGGACACCGCCCUUUCACGGCGGCGGCACGGGUUCGAAUCCCGUUGGGGGUGACCA
rnacentral:tRNA from 1 species